rnacentral:lncRNA from 1 species
CCAGUCUGUUUAUGUUUCCAGCAUAAGAGGAAGUAAGAAGUUGUAAAUUUAUAAGAAGUUAAUUUUAAUUUUUCUCUCUCUCUCUUUUUUUUUUUCCCCUUUCUCUAGUUAUAACAUGAAGAUUUGUUUGCUUGUUUAUGUUUUGUUUUGUUUUCCUUCUUUUCUUUGAUUAACAACUUUGAAUUUACUUUUGUGGUGGUUUUACUCAGGUGGGCAGCUGAGCUUCUCCACAGCUGCUCUCUCACUCUCCCUCCUCAAAGAGGAACAGGGAGAAAAUAUGAUGAAAAGGGCUCAAGGGUUGAGAUAAGGAUGAGAAAUACACACAGUCAUUAUCAUGACAGGCAAAACAGACUCAGCAUAGGGAGACAGUAGGACUAUUACCUAUUAGUAAAACGCUAGAGAAGUGAGAAACAAAGGAAAGAAACCAAAAAUGCCUUCCCCCACAUCCACCCUUUUCCACCUUUUCCCCCUGAGCGGCGCAGGGGAACAGGGGAAAGAGGGUUAUGGUUAACCUAUAGCGCUUCUUCUCUGCCACUCCUUCAUGGUCACUCUCUGCCCCUACUCCACGUGGGGUCCCUUCCAGGGGAUGCAGUCCUUGCCGAACUGAACUGGCGUGGGCUUCUUGCAGGCAACAGCUCUUCAAUAAUUGUUCCAGAUAUUGGUUUGUACUAUGGGGUCCAUCCCUCAGGAGCAAACUGCUCCAACCUGGGUCCCCCACAGGCAGCAGCUCCUGGCAGGUCAAAUGCUCCUGUGUGGUCUCCUCUCCACGGGCUACAGGUCUGGCUCGGAAUCUGCUCCGGCAGGGGUCUUCCACAGGUGGCAGCCUCCGUUGGUGCAGGGUCACCUGCUCCACCAUGGUCUCCUCCACGGGCUGCAGCGUGGGACCCUGCUCCACCGUGGUACUCCAUGGGCUGCAGGGGGACAUUCUGCUUCACCAUGGUCCUAACCACAGGCCACACUGGACUUCUGCUUCAGCACCUGAAGUACCUCUCCUCCUCCUUCUUCACUGACCUUGGUGCCUGCAAGGCUGUUCCUCACUCCUCUCACUCUCCCAGCUGCUGUGUGGUGCAGCGUUUUUUAUUUUAUUUAUUUUUUAUUUUUAUUUAUUUAUUUUCCUCUGUCUUAAAUAUGCUCUCACAGAGGCGCAAACAACAUCACUUAUUGGCUCGGCUCUGGUCAGCAAUGAGGCCCUUACCUAACAUGGGGCAGCUUCUAGAUUCUUCUCACAGAAGCCACCCCGAUGGCCCCCUGCUACCAAAACCUUGCCACAUAAACCCACUGCAACUUUCAGUGA